rnacentral:rRNA from 1 species
AUACGUAGGUGACAAGCGUUAUCCGGAUUUACUGGGCGUAAAGGGCGUGUAGGCGGUCUUGCAAGUCAGAAGUGAAAUUCCUGAGCUCAACUCGGGCGCUGCUUCUGAAACUGCAGGACUUGAGUGCUGGAGGGGAUAGCGGAAUUCCUAGUGGAGCGGUAAAAUGCGCAGAUAUUAGGAAGAACACCGGUGGCGAAGGCGGCUAUCUGGACAGUAACGGACGCUGAGGCGCGAAAGCGUGGGGAGCAAACAGGAUUAGAUACCCUGGUAGGCCACGCCGUAAACGAUGAAUACUAGGUGUAGGGGGUAUCGACUCCCUCUGUGCCGCAGUUAACACAAUAAGUAUUCCGCCUGGGGAGUACGGCCGCAAGGUUGAAACUCAAAUGAAUUGGCGGGG